rnacentral:rRNA from 1 species
AGAAUCAACGCUGGCGGCGUGCCUAACACAUGCAAGUCGCACGAGAAAGGGUAGCAAUACCUGAGUACAGUGGCGCACGGGUGAGUAACACGUGAAUAAUCUACCUCCGAGUGGGGAAUAACUGAGAGAAAUCUUAGCUAAUACCGCAUAAUACCCACGGGUCAAAGCAGCGAUGCGCUUGGAGAGGAGUUCGCGGCAGAUUAGUUAGUUGGCGGGGUAAUGGCCCACCAAGACGAUGAUCUGUAUCCGGCCUGAGAGGGCGCACGGACACACUGGAACUGAAACACGGUCCAGACUCCUACGGGAGGCAGCAGUGGGGAAUUUUGCGCAAUGGGGGAAACCCUGACGCAGCAACGCCGCGUGGAGGAUGAAGCCCCUUGGGGUGUAAACUCCUUUCGAUCGGGAAGAUAAUGACGGUACCGAUAUAAGAGCCCGGCUAACUUCGCGCCAGCAGCCGC